rnacentral:rRNA from 1 species
AGAUUGAACGCUAGCGGGAUGCUUUACACAUGCAAGUCGAACGGCAGCGCGGACUUCGGUCUGGCGGCGAGUGGCGAACGGGUGAGUAAUAUAUCGGGACGUGCCCAGUAGCGGGGGAUAACUACGCGAAAGCGUGGCUAAUACCGCAUACGCCCUACGGGGGAAAGGGGGGGAUCGCAAGACCUCUCACUAUUGGAGCGGCCGAUAUCAGAUUAGCUAGUCGGUGAGGUAAAGGCUCACCAAGGCGACGAUCUGUAGCUGGUUUGAGAGGACGACCAGCCACACUGGGACUGAGACACGGCCCAGACUCCUACGGGAGCAGCAGUGGGAAUUUGGACAAUGGGGGAAACCCUGAUCCAGCCAUCCCGCGUGUGCGAUGAAGGCCGUUCGGGUUGUAAGCACUUUUGGUCGAGGAAGAAACGGCGUUAGGAACUAAUAAUUCAGCGUCACUGACGGUACC